rnacentral:rRNA from 1 species
GGCUUAGUGAGGCCUCCGGAUCUGGCUAGCCUCGAGGGCAACCUCGUCGCAGGCCGGAGAAGCUGGUCAAACUUGGUCAUUUAGAGGAAGUAAAAGUCGUAACAAGGUUUCCGUAGGUGAACCUGCGGAAGGAUCAUUAAAAUACUUUUCAAAACUUUGUUUUGAAUUAAAAGCAACCACCGUUAAGUUCAAAAAUCUAAAACAAAACUUUCAACAACGGAUCUCUUGGUUCUCGCAUCGAUGAAGAACGCAGCGAAUUGCGAUACGUAGUAUGACUUGCAGACGUGAAUCAUCGAAUCUUUGAACGCAUAUUGCGCCUUGGGGCAUUCCCCAAGGCAUGCCUGUUUGAGCGUGAUAUCUUCUCACCGUUGGUGGAUUUGUUUCUAAAUAUCAUCCCACAGUGAAGUCUACGCUUUCACUGCUUUUUCCCCUCAAAUCAGGUAGGACUACCCGCUGAACUUAAGCAUAUCAAUAAGCGGAGGAAAAGAAACCAACAGGGAUUGCCUCAGUAACGGCGAGUGAAGCGGCAAGAGCUCAACUUUGGAAUCGCUGCGGCGAGUUGUAGUCUGGAGGUGGCCGGUCCCGGCGCCAGCGCGCAGCCAAGUCCUUUGGAACAAGGCG